rnacentral:rRNA from 1 species
GAUGAACGCUGGCGGCGUGCCUAAUACAUGCAAGUCGAGCGAACAGAUGAGGAGCUUGCUCCUCUGACGUUAGCGGCGGACGGGUGAGUAACACGUGGAUAACCUACCUAUAAGACUGGGAUAACUUCGGGAAACCGGAGCUAAUACCGGAUAAUAUAUUGAACCGCAUGGUUCAAUAGUGAAAGACGGUUUUGCUGUCACUUAUAGAUGGAUCCGCGCCGCAUUAGCUAGUUGGUAAGGUAACGGCUUACCAAGGCAACGAUGCGUAGCCGACCUGAGAGGGUGGUCGGCCACCCUGGAACUGAGACACGGUCCAGACUCCUGCGGGAGGCAGCAGUAGGGAAUCUUCCGCAAUGGGCGAAAGCCUGACGGAGCAACGCCGCGUGAGUGAUGAAGGUCUUCGGAUCGUAAAACUCUGUUAUUAGGGAAGAACAAAUGUGUAAGUAACUAUGCACGUCUUGACGGUACCUAAUCAGAAAGCCACGGCUAACUACGUG